ACUGUGAUCCUGUCUGUCUUCAUCAGCACAUCUCCAAAAGGAGGCUACACAACCCCACGGCAGGGCAGUUCCAGGGCCUUCUCCGCCGUAUGAUGUUCGCUGUGGUGUCUCACCAAAAGGAUCAGGAAACGUUCUGCAGAAGAGAACUGUCUCCCUGUCAGCUGCAGACGUGCACUCUGCUCGGAUGUCAGAGGAACAUCUCCCAUCCCCAUUCUCUUGCAUUCCUGCAGUCAUUUGACCACAGCUACCUGCCUGCCUGCCUGUUUUGGUGGUCAUUUAGGCAGAGUCUUCUCUACAUUUCUGGAUUGGUUAUCAUAAGAAUGUCCUGUGAAGUCACAGCAGAUGUUCCUUCAUUCUUGGAUCCAAGCGACCUUCUGCUGAGGAACCUGAAGAACAGUGGAGGGCUGGAGGUCUCCUCAAAGGGGAACAAUGAAGGUUUUCAGAACAACAGAAUGUGUGGUGCACCAGAACUCUAAAGAUUAGGGUCAAUCUUUUUGUUCAAGCUGAAAUUGGUUCAGAAAGGUAUUUUAAGCCAGAAAGCAGAUCAGAGUUCAGGAUGACAACCACAAUUUAAUAACUUAUAGUUUUUUUUGGGUUCCAUAAAGUGAGUCUGAACCACAUGGGAAAAUGAACCACACUGGAGAUUCAGAGUGCCACUGCAUGAGAGUGGCUGUUAGUUUUUAGGGUUUUAGUUGUGAUAUUUUGAUCAUAUUUCAGCUUAGUUAGAUUUGUAGAUGACAGCCAUGUCUUUUUUAUACUGGAGAACAUUCUCUUGUAGAAGGAAUAAAGGUAUUCUAUUUAAAUGUUUCAAUUAUUUAAGGCCAUGUCGUGUGAAGCUGUAAGAGAAUAACUUUGGUUUAUUAAAUAAAGCAGCAGAUGUGAGGAAAAGAA